rnacentral:lncRNA from 1 species
AAUCUGAAUCAUUAGGUUGGUCAAAUCGAAACUAAUUAACCAAUUGGUGUCUAAGGUAAGUUUGGUAUUUCGAUCGAUGGUUUUUAAUUGGGAGCGGCUUAUCUAGCCAUUUUGAUGGUGUCUAAGGCAAGCUUAGCAUAUCCUCUCAUCGAUCUCACUUAUCUGGUCAAUUUGAUGGAUUAUGUCUUGAUUAAACCGCUAAGUGAUUCGAGUUGAC